rnacentral:lncRNA from 1 species
UUCAAAACUGCAGGAAGGAGCCAAUCUGGGAGAACCAGGCCCAGGCAAUAGAACUGUUGGUGAUGCAGAAAGCAGCCGAGACCGGGAGGCCCAUGGGCACCCGGAAUCUGGAAAGAAUCAGGAGGGGACAGUGGAGUCAUGAUGAAGUGGCUGGUUUGCAGCUGUGAAAAUCAUGCCUGGAGAGACUGACGGAGUGAGAUUCCUCUGUCUGUGGUUCAAAGGAGAUGGCUGUGGGACGGAAGGUAAGAAGAAUUCCCACCCUCCCCAUGCAGGAGUCUGUGUGACCGCCAAAAAGCUGGGGAACGGUGGCUCGGCCCCACCCAGUGACACUGGCAUGCAUGCCCCGGUGUGGAAGUGACCACAGCUGCCAGGCUCUGAGUCAGCGGGCCUGGGGCAGCAGAAGAGAAGGAGCCUCUCGUGCUCACGUGGCUGGGCCGGCGCUGCCUCGUGCAUUCUCCUGUCUCUCAGCCUGCAGGAAGCAUAGAUGUUUGAAAGGACGAAUCACACAUGGCCUUGUCCUGGAGCCCGGCCAGGACCACUUCCUCAAAGGGAGGUCUGCGGAGGGGGUUCCUGGGUGGGACUCGGAGUUCUGGGGAAGGGGCAUCUAGCCCUGGGGUGGGGUCUGGGGAGGCUGAUAGCCUUCCAGAGAUCUGGGGGAGCAGAGGCAGAAACAGCUCCCGGUGAGGGUAAGGAGGAAGAAGAACAAGGGGAAUAGAAGGGGCAGGCUGAAGUCGAUUGCAUGGACACGGCCAGCAACUUGUGUAACAUCGUCUCACUGGGCCUCUACUUCCUCAUCUGUAAAACAGGGACAAUAAAGCCCCAACUUCAAGAGCUGUGAAUUGCAUCAAAUCGAUUGGUGUUUAUAAAGCAUCAGAGCAGGGCCUGUCUACCCUAUGGCUGUUACUGCUUAGGGACAGUGUGGGGACUAAAAGGAGAUGGAGGGAAAAGAUGAGUCUAAAAAUAUUUAAAGGGCCAAUCUUAGCCAGGUAUGGUGGUGCACACCUGUAAUCCCAGCACUCAGGAGGCUGAGGCUGGAGGAUUGCUUCAUGUUCAAGGCCAACAAACUAUAGACCAAGUCCUGGGGCAAUGAGUUGUAGGAGAAAAGCCAGGGACAGUGCAGGAGGUGGUAGCUGGUAGCCCAGUCUGGGCAGCAGUUAGGAGGCUGUGGCCUGAGGUCUGAGGAGACAGAGGAUAAGAAAGGUGUCCAGGUAGUCUGUGGGGGCUCUCAGCACAGGGC